rnacentral:rRNA from 1 species
AUUGAACGCUGGCGGCAUGCUUUUACACAUGCAAGUCGAACGGUAACAGGCCGCAAGGUGCUGACGAGUGGCGAACGGGUGAGUAAUGCAUCGGAACGUGCCCAGUCGUGGGGGAUAACGCAGCGAAAGCUGCGCUAAUACCGCAUACGAUCUAUGGAUGAAAGCGGGGGACCGUAAGGGCCUCGCGCGAUUGGAGCGGCCGAUGUCAGAUUAGGUAGUUGGUGGGGUAAAGGCUCACCAAGCCAACGAUCUGUAGCUGGUCUGAGAGGACGACCAGCCACACUGGGACUGAGACACGGCCCAGACUCCUACGGAGGCAGCAGUGGGGAAUUUUGGACAAUGGGCGCAAGCCUGAUCCAGCAAUGCCGCGUGCAGG